rnacentral:lncRNA from 1 species
CCAAUGGAAAUAUUUAUCAUCAUCCCUUCUUCCUCAGGUUUGGCAGGGCAGCGAUCAUCUAUGGGGCCAGGUACCCAUACACUAUCAUUAACAUAUACUUCUGUAGGAUUAUCCAUCCAUGUGACUGCCCGAAUUAAGGGCGGGAAAGGCACAUAGGCCCAGUAGGUAUAGUUAGCUGCAGCUGCUCCUGCAGGCAUAGGGAGACUUACCACCAUUGAUACAAUCAUCAAGGCUGCAAGCAGCAUACUCUCUGGGGUUUGUGUCACCUUUGUGUUCUCUAGAUAUUUUGUAGCUAACUGCGUCAGCUUCUUUAGUUGUGCCCAAGUUGGCGGCUCUGCCUUCUUGGUGGAUGGCAACUUCAGUAGCUAACUGCGUCAGCUUCUUUAGUUGUGCCCAAGUUGGCGGCUCUGCCUUCUUGGUGGAUGGCAACUUCAUCUGUUCUUCUGACGUCACCAUUUUGUUCAUCUUGUGAGUCAACGGUGCUCGAUUGCGAUGUCUCCGUCUCCGCGGAGGUGCUUUUCUUUGCAUCUCUGAUGGGUUCAUUGUAGAACUUCAAAUGUCUAGUGGGUAUCCAAACAGGAAGCUGAUUUUCUCCUGGUGAAACACAAGCAAAACCUCUCCCCCACGUUAUCACCUUCCCUAUUUCCCAUGUCUUAUUUUUAUUAUCUUUCCACCAAAUUAGUUUUCCUUCAUGUGGGCUGUUCUUUUUACCAGUAAGAUGUUGUUCUGCAGAAGUAGUAGUCUGAUUUCUAUAAAUGUUUAAAAAAUUUAAAGUAUAGAGUGCUAGAUUAAGUUGCAUCUGAGGAGUGGUACACUCCUUACUGUCUCCCCCUUCUUUUUGUUUAACUAAUUGAGUUUUGAGUGUUCUAUUAGUUCUUUCAACUAUGGCCUGUCCUUGGGAAUUAUAAGGAAUUCCUGUUGUAUGUGAAAUUUUCCACUGACUUAAGAAUUUUUGGAAAGCUUUACUACAAUAUCCUGGUCCAUUGUCAGUUUUGAUUUUUUCUGGAACUCCCAUUACAGCAAAACAAGACAAUAAAUGUUUUUUAACAUGGGAAGUACUUUCUCCUGUUUGGCAAGUUGCCCAUAUGAAAUGUGAAUAAGUAUCAACUGUUACGUGAACAUAUGAUAAUCUUCCAAAUGAAGGUACAUGCGUGACAUCCAUUUGCCAUAAUGCAUUAGGACACAGACCUCUGGGAUUAACUCCUGCCUCUUGAGUGGGCAGGUGUAAGACUUGACACUGGGUGCAAUGUUGUACAAUAUCUUUUGCCUGUUUCCAUGUGACAUCAAAUUUGUUUUUUAAUCCUGCUGCAUUUACAUGAGUCAAAGCAUGAAGUUCUUGUGCUUUUAUGAGUGCAGAUGAUACCAGUAAGUCAGCUUGUUCAUUUGCUUUAGUCAAAGGCCCUGGUAAAUUAGUGUGUGCUCGAAUAUGUGUAAUAUAAAAUGGGAAAUUUCUUUUUCUUACAGUUUGUUGUAAUAAAUUGAAUAGCUGGUUUAACUGAUCAUCCAUGCUAUAUUUAAUUAGAGCUGUCUCAACAUCCCUUGUAGCCUGUACUACAUAUGCAGAAUCUGAUAUAAUAUUGAUAGGUUGGUCAAAAUCUUGUAACACUGUAAUGACUGCAACCAACUCUGCUCUUUGAGCCGAUUGAUAUGGAGUUUUGAUUACUCGUUCUUUCGGUCCUGUGUAAGCUGCUUUUCCAUUGCUGGAACCAUCAGUAAAUACUGUUAGAGCAUUUUCUAAAGGUUCACGUCUGGUAAUUUUAGGUAGAAUCCAAGUAGUCAAU